rnacentral:rRNA from 1 species
GGGAGAAGACGGCCUUUCGGAUUGUAAACCUCUUUCAGUAGGGAAGAAGCCUUUGGGGGACGGUACCUGCAGAAGAAGUNCCGGCUAACUACGUGCCAGCAGCCGCGGUAAUACGUAGGGUACAAGCGUUGUCCGGAAUUAUUGGGCGUAAAGAGCUCGUAGGUGGUUUGUCGCGUCUGCUGUGGAAUCGUGCCGCUUAACGGUGCGCGUGCAGUGGGUACGGGCAGACUGGAGUGCAGUAGGGGAGUCUGGAAUUCCUGGUGUAGCGGUGAAAUGCGCAGAUAUCAGGAGGAACACCGGUGGCGAAGGCGGGACUCUGGGCUGUUACUGACGCUGAGGAGCGAAAGCAUGGGGAGCGAACAGGAUUAGAUACCCUGGUAGUCCAUGCCGUAAACGUUGGGAACUAGGUGUGGGGUCCAUUCCACGGAUUCCGCGCCGUAGCUAACGCAUUAAGUUCCCCGCCUGGGGAGUACGGCCGCAAGGCUAAAACUCAAAGGAAUUGACGGGGGCCCGCACAAGCGGCGGAGCAUGCGGAUUAAUUCGAUGCAACGCGAAGAACCUUACCAAGGCUUGACAUGCACUGGAAUCGCCUAGAGAUAGGUGCGCCCUUUGGGGCUGGUGUACAGGUGGUGCAUGGUUGUCGUCAGCUCGUGUCGUGAGAUGUUGGGUUAAGUCCCGCAACGAGCGCAACCCUCGUUCUAUGUUGCCAGCACGUGAUGGUGGGAACUCAUAGGAGACUGCCGGGGUCAACUCGGAGGAAGGUGGGGAUGACGUCAAAUCAUCAUGCCCUUUAUGUCUUGGGCUUCACGCAUGCUACAAUGGUCGGUACAGAGGGUGGCGAUGCCGUGAGGUGGAGCGAAUCCCUUAAAGCCGGUCUCAGUUCGGAUCGUAGUCUGCAACUCGACUACGUGAAGUCGGAGUCGCUAGUAAUCGCAGAUCAGCAACGCUGCGGUGAAUACGUUCCCGGGCCUUGUACACACCGCCCGUCAAGUCACGAAAGUCGGUAACACCCGAAGCCGGUGGCCUAACCUGUGUGGGGGAGCCG